GAUGAACGCUGGCUACAGGCUUAACACAUGCAAGUCGAGGGGAAACGACGGGGAAGCUUGCUUCCCCGGGCGUCGACCGGCGCACGGGUGAGUAACGCGUAUCCAACCUGCCUCUGACUGAGGGAUAACCCGUCGAAAGUCGGCCUAAUACCUCAUGGUAUCGUCUGCGGGCAUCCAACGACGAUUAAAGAUUUCAUCGGUCAGGGAUGGGGAUGCGUCUGAUUAGCUUGUUGGCGGGGUAACGGCCCACCAAGGCUACGAUCAGUAGGGGUUCUGAGAGGAAGGUCCCCCACAUUGGAACUGAGACACGGUCCAAACUCCUACGGGAGGCAGCAGUGAGGAAUAUUGGUCAAUGGGCGAGAGCCUGAACCAGCCAAGUAGCGUGCAGGAAGACGGCCCUAUGGGCUGUAAACUGCUUUUAUGCGGGGAUAAAGUGAGGGACGUGUCCCUCAUUGCAGGUACCGCAUGAAUAAGGACCGGCUAAUUCCGUG
rnacentral:rRNA from 1 species